GACGAACGCUGGCGGAAUGCUUUACACAUGCAAGUCGAACGAUGAAGUCUAGCUUGCUAGACGGAUUAGUGGCGAACGGGUGAGUAAUAUAUCGGAACGUAUCCAAUAAUGGGGGAUAACUAGUCGAAAGAUUGGCUAAUACCGCAUACGUCCUACGGGAGAAAGCUGGGGAUCGUAAGACCUGGCGUUAAUGGAGCGGCCGAUAUCUGAUUAGCUAGUUGGUGAGGUAAAGGCUCACCAAGGCGACGAUCAGUAGCUGGUCUGAGAGGACGACCAGCCACACUGGAACUGAGACACGGUCCAGACUCCUACGGGAGGCAGCAGUGGGGAAUUUUGGACAAUGGGCGAAAGCCUGAUCCAGCCAUUCCGCGUGAGUGAAGAAGGCCUUCGGGUUGUAAAGCUCUUUCGCAAGGGAAGAACACUUACUUAAUAACACUAAGUGAGGUUGACGGUACCUUGAUAAGAAGCACCGGCUAACUACGUGCCAGCCGCCGCAGUAA
rnacentral:rRNA from 1 species